rnacentral:rRNA from 1 species
GGCGUAAGCGCACGCAGGCGGUCUGUCAAGUCGGAUGUGAAAUCCCCGGGCUCAACCUGGGAACUGCAUUCGAAACUGGCAGGCUAGAGUCUUGUAGAGGGGGGUAGAAUUCCAGGUGUAGCGGUGAAAUGCGUAGAGAUCUGGAGGAAUACCGGUGGCGAAGGCGGCCCCCUGGACAAAGACUGACGCUCAGGUGCGAAAGCGUGGGGAGCAAACAGGAUUAGAUACCCUGGUAGUCCACGCCGUAAACGAUGUCGAUUUGGAGGUUGUUCCCUUGAGGAGUGGCUUCCGGAGCUAACGCGUUAAAUCGACCGCCUGGGGAGUACGGCCGCAAGGUUAAAACUCAAAUGAAUUGACGGGGGCCCGCACAAGCGGUGGAGCAUGUGGUUUAAUUCGAUGCAACGCGAAGAACCUUACCUACUCUUGACAUCCAGAGAACUUUCCAGAGAUGGAUUGGUGCCUUCGGGAACUCUGAGACAGGUGCUGCAUGGCUGUCGUCAGCUCGUGUUGUGAAAUGUUGGGUUAAGUCCCGCAACGAGCCGCAACCCA